CGGAGGAACAUGUGGUUUAAUUCGAUGAUACGCGAGGAACCUUACCUGGGCUUAAAUGUAGAGUGCAUUUUCUAGAGAUAGGAAUUCCCUUCGGGGCUUUCUACAAGGUGCUGCAUGGUUGUCGUCAGCUCGUGCCGUGAGGUGUCGGGUUAAGUCCCAUAACGAGCGCAACCCUUAUCGUUAGUUGCCAUCUGGUAAAGCAGGGGACUCUAGCGAAACUGCCACCGUAAGGUGAGAGGAAGUGGGGAUGACGUCAAAUCAGCACGGCCCUUAUGUCCAGGGCUACACACGUGUUACAAUGGUCGGUACAGAGGGCAGCUACCUGGUGACAGGAUGCUAAUCUCGAAAACCGGCCUCAGUUCGGAUCGAAGUCUGCAACUCGACUUCGUGAAGCUGGAUUCGCUAGUAAUCGCGCAUCAGCCAUGGCGCGGUGAAUACGUUCCCGGGCCUU
rnacentral:rRNA from 1 species